UGGGGAUUCGAACCCGGGUCUUCGGCGUGACGAGCCAACGCUUUAACCACUAGACUACCCCACCGCCCCACACGAAGGACGUCAAGUUGGCUGAAGGAAAGGAAUACUGGUUUUAGUCAGAGUUACAAAUCAUGCUAAGCUCACAAGUGAACGGGAAAUAAAGAUCCAAGUGUUUGGGAGUCCCCCUCAUUCAGGCGUUGUCCGCGAUGGUCAGUCUGGACAACCGGAAGUCGACUACCAGGACAACCUACUGCUCCACGCCCACUGGGAAGGAUUCUAUGAUAGAGAAGAUGCAAUUGCCUUUUAUCAGUACACGUUCGGACCAAGAUGUGUACAGGGACACGAGUUUGACCUCAACAAAACCCAAAACAUGGAAUCAACACGCACUACUAAAGCCACAUGGACAGCGCCGUCUUGUGGAAUUUUUUACAUAACUGUGGUUGCUUAUGAUGAGGCUCAGCAGAGAAGCGAUGUUGUUUGUUCAGAUGAUGUGGAGACGUGCAAACCAUCUCCUGUCCAAAGUAGUUCAUUGAUCGGACGAAAUCUUGUACUGGUGGUGUCGGCUACAGCGUCCGCUGUCGUUGCAGUUGCAGGCAUUGUCGUUGGAGUUGUUGUCUGGAGGAGGAAACGAAGAGGCCAACCAAAGUUCUCUGACCAAACUGUGUACUACAACACAGGGCCAUCUGAAAACGCUAAGCCUAAAAAGACAAAACCUGAAGACACGAUGUAUGACAAGCUUGAUGUCAACGCACGCGAUGGAGGAGCUGGUCAAGAACCAUACUGUUCUAUACAAACUUGUCGGUCGGACAAAACAAACAUAUAUGAAGCUGUUGAAAAUCAGAUGUACCUGAACAUUGGCGAACGACCGCGCGUUACCUUGAACAGUAAAUCAAGUGACAUAUACGAAAAAAUCUGAAUAUCACAUUACAUUAGUCGCACAUAACUCAUAUGCGUAAACAUUUUUAAGAAAUAUAGAAAUCUUUUAUAAAAAAACUAAACCGCCCAUGCCUGUCAUAGACGAGUGACGAGUUCAGGUAGUCUGACUUACUGAUUGAUUGAUUGACUUUAGUUUUACGCCGCUUAUAGCAAUAUUCCAACGAUACCACUACAGGGGACACCAGAAAUGGACUUCACACAUUGUAACCAUGUGGAGAUUCGAACUCGGAUCUUCGACGUAACGAGCAAACGCUUUAAUCACUAGGCUACCUCACCGUCCCUCAGGCUUACUGACCUUGUUGAUGCGUGUCAUCGAAUCCAUAUUCGGAUGAUCGAUACUCAGUUACUCUGUUACCGUUAUGUAGUUGGUGUGUAAUAUUGGUGGGUGCUGCGUUAAGCAUGAAACAUGAAACAUACAUUAAACAAAACAAAACACAGAUGUUGAUAAAACGUCGUAACCUAACGACGUGAAUCUCUGUUCAUUAGGUCAUUCACUUGUUUAUCUGGUGCAGAAUUUCAAAUUGUCCGAAGUGAUAUAUUUUCAUGCAGUUGGAAUAUGGGUUUACAACAAGCUAA
rnacentral:misc_RNA from 1 species